CGAGCAAUCUGCCCUUCACAUCGGAAUAACCAUUGGAAACGAUGGCUAAUACCGAAUAUGACUUCGGAUCGCAUGAUCUGAAGUGGAAAGCUCCGGCGGUGAAGGAUGAGCUCGCGGCCUAUCAGCUUGUUGGUGAGGUAAUAGCUCACCAAGGCGAUGACGGGUAGCCGGCUGAGGAGGGUGACCGGCCACACUGGGACUGAGACACGGCAGACCG
rnacentral:rRNA from 1 species